UCUUUCCAGAGGAGGAACACGGAAAAAUCAGCCUUGUGGGUGAACAGGAGGAGAGUCACAUUCGCCAGCAGGCAGCACCCUGUGCAGGCAGCGGGAGAAAUCCGAGCUUCAGCAGCGUCCAGAGCAGGAUUUGCACAAAGUCUCCCGUUUCAAGUUUUAUGUCUCCUAGAGUCCUGGGGAAGGCACCCAGCCCACCCACAGCUCCCUUCUCAGAGCCCUAAGAAUUGAUGAGAAAGCCCCUCACUACCACACGCAGGACACGCAGAAACUUCAGAUGAGUGGACUGGUCACGUGAUACAGCAAUGACAAAAACUUCAGUAUUGGCAUUCAUUCCAGCUGAUGGCAUUCCAGGAGCUUUUAAUGAAUUAAAGCCACAUUUGCCUGAAGAAGCCAGAGAAGUUACUAACUGGUUCAAAAACGAUUACAUGCGUGAUGGGCAGUAUUGUUGCAGUUCAAUCACCAGUAUUGCUUCCACCAGAUUUGUGGUCUAUAUAUGUGUGCAUAUGGAAUAGAUUUCCACAGACCCACAACACGGAAACAUGGCACAGAAGAUGGGAAAACUUAAUGGGGAAUACUCAUGUAGAUGUGUACUAAACCAUAGAAGAAUUUUGAAAAGAGAAGUGUCACAUAGAAAAUAAAUGUGAACAUAUUCUCCAAGGACAGCCAUGUCCUAAAAGAAAAAAAGCAGCCUUUUUUUGUGAUGUGAGACUUCAAAAUAUAGUUAAUGACUGUGAAAGUUGGCCAGCUCUUAUGGACUAUCUCCAUGCAAUUGCCUAUAAUCUAGCUCCAUACUUUUUUAUUUGUUGAAUUUUCUUUUUAGUUUUUUGUUUUUGUUUGUUUUUUAGAUUUUUUCACUAUUUGAAAUUGUCAGCAUUAUGUUUUAUAAUUUGUUAUGCUACCUAUUUCAUCUUUGCAUCAUUUCCAAUACUGUAUGCAUCGUAUAGAGAGUUUUAGAGAGUUCUAAUUUGCUUUGUGCAUUUUUGCAAAUGUAACUCCAUGAAAGUAUAUUAUCAAAAUGUUGAACUUGUGUGUAAGCAGCAUGUGUGUGCAUAAAGACAUUAAAACUUCCUCAUUAAAUGAAAUUGUAUCUUCUUUGUACAUCUGCUUUUAUGAAAAAUAAAAUUUCUCAAUGCCUUGGCUCUUUGGGCAACUGAUGUGGUGGUGAUAUGGUGGUGACUCAUCACGGUUUUUGAUCAAUCUUAUCAAAAGACUUAGAAGAAGCUAAGAAUCACAGUAUUUCAGAUGACUGCUGUAUAAAGCUGGGGGCACACAAUUACCAACCAUAGUGUGAUAUACAUUUUUAUAUUUUGCUUUUUGAUCUAUUUCUUUAUGAAUAUGGUUCAUCUGCUCAUAACUGUUAUACCCAUGUGACUGUUGUUGGUAUAUCUGAGUGUUUCUGCUUGCAAAAAUAUGGUAUUAUUGUCCAUUUUAUUGUGUAAAGUAGCCUAUGAAGAGUUCUGUCAUGUUUUUAUAUGUUUCUUAAAUAAAUCCCCUUUAAAAAUGUAAGUAAAUAUUUUACAACAUUUUGAAAAAGUUUUUUGUUUUUUUUUUUUUAAACGGAGUCUUGCUUUUUUUUGUCAUUGCCCAGGCUGGAGUGCAAUGGCACAAUCUCAGCUCACCGCAACCUCCACCUCCUGGGUUCAAGCGAUUCUCCUGCCUCAGCCUCCAGAGUAGCUGGGAUUACAGGUGUCCGCCACCAUGCCUGGCUAAUUUUUGUAUUUUUAGUAGAGAUGGGGUUUCGCCAUGUUGGCCAGGCUGGUUUUGAACUCCUGACAUCAGGUGAUCCGCCCACCUCGGCCUCCCAAAGUGCUGGGAUUACAGGCGUGAGCCACUGCGCCCGGCUGAAAAAGCUUUUUUCUAAAAUAUUUUUGGGAUUUUGAUUUUUCAGGAUUUUAACAUUGGGGAUGAUGGCAUUUGGGAUUAUGAUUAGCUCCCAUCUUGGACUUCUGGCCUCUAGAAUUGUGAGAAAAUAAAUAUCUGUGAUUUAA
rnacentral:antisense_RNA from 1 species